GAAAUAGUAUUCGGCAACUUUGCAUGAAAUUUCUAUUUUAAUUAUUUUUGCUAUGCAAAACCACUCAGUGCUUAAAUUGGUUUGAUCUUAAUCACCUCUAAUAAAUAGAUUUAAGGACGAUAUAAAAUGUUAAACAUUGUAAAAUUAUUUUACUUUAUUGAAAUGAAGAGAAGAAUGCAUAAAAAAAAUUUUUUUUAGAUGUCUAUGGUGAUUCUCAAUCAUCCAGGUCAUAGUUGUCCCAAAGUUGUUUUUUCUAAAAGGCGACUGAACUGUUUUUUCCCCCUUUGAAAACGUUUUGUUUCUCAUCCAAGAAGCUUCUUCAGUUCUGUGAAACUUUUUCAAAGAAAAAAAAACCGAAGUCCAGUUGCGUUUUGAAAAACAUCUUUGGGUUAUUUUGUUUAAAAAUAUUAUUAUUAUUUAUUUUUCCUUUAACUUUUACCUAUAUGUAUUUGUAUUUGUAGCAUGCACAUAAAACCAGUUAGAAUUGUCUCCCCAGAGUAUGUGACAACACUCAUUGAAAAUGAUUAGCAUGAAGAUCAGAACACUAGCCUGAAGUGAUUUUUACAGAUAGCAUAUGAUUUGGCAAAGAACAACACUCAGUUCUAUCGGAUAAAGCUGUUUGUGAAGUAUCCAGUUGAUUAUACGGCAAAUCAGAAUAUAAGGCUAGUAGAUGGUAUUACAGGUGGAGACUUAAAGGACCAGAGAAACUGUAAGAAGGACGAUGAAGAGAGAACUACAAUGGUACUGUAAAGGCUAGCAGGUAAGAUAGAUCUAGAUUCUAGACAAAUCCAGUUGCUGAAGAUUGUUAGCAUGCUAGCAUACAGGCCAGUAAUCCUAAAAUGGACUAGGCCGCGCAUUAUAUAUAUUUUUCCUGGGAUGGUGGCAAUUAUCUGAAACAGAUGAGGACCCAGUGCAGAAAAGUAUGUCUCAGAUAAAAAGGAGAAUGCAGGAAGAGACCAAGUGUAUCCUUUGCUGAUGAUCUGUCAGGGACUAAAGAUGACAGAAAAGGUGAGAUUUUCAGACAGACUAAAGGAAAUGUUGGCUAGAGGGGACACAUACAGUAAGCUAAAAUAUGUCUAAAAUAUGAACCCACAGGAAGCCCUUGUACAUGAGGAUGAAAAUAAUAUUUUAUUUUCAAUGGAAACAGGGUUUUCAUACUUCCUAUAUUUACUGGCAGAAAGGAAAUCCUAUAUUGUUGUGGUCACAUGGCUUUCUCAAAAGUUUCCUUAUAGUUUGUACCCACUAUUCAA